CCUACGGGAGGCUGCAGUGAGGAAUAUUGGUCAAUGGACGAGAGUCUGAACCAGCAAAGUAGCGUGAAGGAUGACUGCCCUAUGGGUUGUAAACUUCUUUUAUAAAGGAAUAAAACGAGGCACGUGUGCCUUUAUGCAUGUACUUUAUGAAUAAGGAUCGGCUAACUCCGUGCCAGCAGCCGCGGUAAUACGGAGGAUCCGAGCGUUAUCCGGAUUUAUUGGGUUUAAAGGGAGCGUAGAUGGGUUGUUAAGUCAGUUGUGAAAGUUUGCGGCUCAACCGUAAAAUUGCAAUUGAUACUGGCAGUCUUGAGUACAGUUGAGGUAGGCGGAAUUCGUGGUGUAGCGGUGAAAUGCUUAGAUAUCACGAAGAACCCCGAUUACGAAGGCAGCUUACUAAACUGUGACUGACAUUGAUGCUCGAAAGUGUGGGUAUCAAACAGGAUUAGAUACCCGGGUAGUC
rnacentral:rRNA from 1 species